AUUAGGCUUUUCCAUGUCUAACCCAGAUUCUGGAAUACAAGGUCCACUUUCCUACUUAAAGACAUAUGAACUUCCAAAAGUUGCCCAGAAAGAGUCGCCUUGAAGGCAAAUGCCCCAUUAGUUAUAGCGUGAUCUGAAACAAUUUACUUGAAUGGGAUUUCCAUUGACUUUUAAGCAGAUCGGUCACAUGAAGCAAAUUUAUAGUACAGUAAGUGGUAUUUCCUGAAGUGAUGGAUCUCCUGUCUAAUGGCUUCUGAGCACAAGUCUCAUGAACCAUAAUGCUUUUUGCACACAAGCCUAUAAAUGCCCAGUGCAGAUUUUUUACCAAAUAAGCUUCCCUUUGCAUAGAGGGUCCUAAAAGUCUAGGCAGGCAAUUCAAACAAAAUUGUGUUUGCCUCUCUUCACUUUUUUCUAAGCUUAUACCCCUGGGUUUUUGUUAACAUUAAAAAAAAAAAAAGAUAUUUAGAACUGCACUUUAGCCACCUUGUAAAAUGAAAGAGUACAUUGUACAGGCACCAAAGGUACACGUCAGUGCUUUUAUCAAAAAUCAGGGUCCUGCUUGACUGCACUAAUUGGAAACAUGUGUUGAAAAUGCAGGACAGGAUUUUCAGCUGUUCUCUCAUUAAAUGGAAUAAAAUAAGGAGUAGAUUUCACAUUUCUUUAUAAGAAGAGGCUGCUGGAUUGUUCUAUUAGCAGGACUGAUGGAUGAUCUUGACUGGGGAUGCUGGCACCUGUGUCAGGGCCUCAGGGACACUGGGAGUUGCUUUAAUAUUUAAGACAUCACAAUAAUUCUAUGGGAAGAUUUAGCCCCAUUCAUAGAAGGCCUGGCUGCAAAUGCUUCUCUGAUAAAGAGAUGAAGGGAAAUGAUAGAAAUCUAUUUUUUUCAAGUGAUUUGGAAGGUUUUUUUUUAAAAAAAAUUCUUAUAAAGUUCUGUUCCUGCAAAAAUCAUCAGUGAGGUGGAAAAAGUAUCUCCUCAUGCACUUGCCCACUGAAAUCUGUGGAGAAGAGCAGCCAAUAUGAGUAUCUAUUGGAAAGACAGUGAGAAAAUGCUUCCUUUCAAGAUUUAAGCCCCUCUUUCAGAAUGCUUUAUGUUAUUUAACAUCCACUGAAUAGCACCAGUGUAUAGAAAUCCACUCCCUCCCAUCACUGACAAGUUUGCAUCCAGAACUGGUCCCUGUGUACAAAGUGCUGAAGCCUCAGGAAACAAAUGAGAAUAUUGCUUCCAAAAGCACUAUCUCACCUACAGCCUCCAGAAAGAGGUGCAAGGAGAAGUGAAUGAAUGAGGAGAGCAACAGCAAUUCCUCCAAAGGCGUACAGGAGCAGCAUCCGGUAGGAAAUGGGAAUGUUAAAGCAGGGCUGGCAAUGCUCAAGAAAGAGGCCAGUUCCGCAAGAGGCUUAAAAAUAUCCAAAAAUCACUCUGAGAGUUCAUGAUGAAACCACCACUCUGCUUGUAUCCAAGGCCCCAGGCCCAGGCACGAGAAAGGGGCUCUCUCUCCACAGUGGGUGGGUUGCCAUUCUACCAGGAGUCUCUCAACUUCCAAAGAUUGUUGGAAAAGUUUAAUCCGUGGCAGCACGAAGUGGAUUUUGACACUUUUCUGGACAGGCUGGGACUAGCAUCAGGGAAUUUCACAAGCUGCAAAGAGAUGGGAGACCUCUGGGUGCUUGUGGUUGUGCCCUGAUGUGAGCCUCAGAUUUCCCGUUCAAAGCACAGACCUAGUCAGAUCAUCCCUUGCUUCCCUUAAGACCCUCCCUGAGUCCUUCAUUCAAGUUCAAACCAAUAGGUAGUUCUCACUACCAUCUCAGCCUCACAGUUCAUCUUCUUUUAUUUCCCCCUUCAUUUCAGCCACAAGGCACCAAAGAUGCCACACUUACCCUUUCCCUUGAGCCUCACACAUAGCUGAGGGUUCUGCAGCCAAGGGACAAUCCCAGGGUCAUCCCAGAAUUCAGCUCAAACUUCUCUCUCCUCCCUCAAAUUUAUCUUGGCUACAACCUCUUCUUCCUGAAGGCUUCCAACAAAAUAAGGACGGGCUGAUCCUCCUUGUGCUCUCUGAGCACCCUGGGCACAGCUUUUACAGUACUUAGCAUAUCCUGAUUGUCUGCAUACAGGUCUACCUCCUCCCUUGGUCUAACUUCCAGACACCAUGAGACAAGAGUGAGGUUUUAUUCAUUUUUCUAUCCCCAGUGACUGGCAGAGUACUUGGCACAAAGUGUUGAGUCAACCUUUGAUGAAUGAAUGGACACUUACACAUUAGGACUUGUGUUCUAACCACAGCUGAGAACUCUGUGUAAGUGUAAGGUUCAUGUGCUUGUACAUAAUCCAAAUUUCAAAUUCUCGUAAUGAAUAAGAUUACUGAUACAGAGGAUAGUGAAAGGAAAAGCACCAUUGGGUAACUGUCAAGAACAAAAACUUUAAUAUGGGCUUAUUACAGGCUAUUAUGAAAGUUACUAAUGUCAUGUGUGAUAGGUUAGGGCAGUCACGGGAAAAUUAAAGAAAGAUAGAAAUGCCCUUCGGAAAUGUCAAUAUUUUAUACAGAAUUCCACAAGAAAACAGUGCUAUCUGUUUUAUUAUAUGCUUUUUUUCCUCUCUCUCAUUUUCCUCAAAUUCAUAAUUCUUACAGAACAUAAAAUUCUUAUUAAACAAACAUACCCUUCAGAUGACAAAUUGUUGAGUGUGAAAAUCCGUCUCCAAGUCAGGAGUUUGAGAUUCUAAUCAUAAGGAAUGAUAACCAGUUACAGCUAAUACAGAAGACCUGCAACUCUAUCUUUUGAGGGAGAAUAUGAAUAAAUGAAUUAAUGACUGAAUACAUGAACAUACUUAAAGCUCUGGGACAGAUUUUCUCUCCCCUAGAUAGCACUGGGACAGACAAAAUGUUUUUCCUUUGGAGUACAUUUUUUAUAUUUCAGUGGCAAAUCCACCUCCCUUCUGACAGUCACAUUGUUCCUUUAGAUAGGUCACGAUUUUUUAAUCAGGUCUCUUUGCCUAGAAGUCAUAUCUUUAUUUAUUUAUUUAUUUAUUGCUUUCUAGGGCCACACAUGCGGUAUAUGGAAGUUCCCUGGCUGGAGUACAAUUGGAGUUACAGCUGCCAGCCCAUGCCAUAGCAAUGUGGGAUCCAAAGAUGGGUCCUUAACCCAGUGAGUGAGGUUAGGGAUUGAACCCACAUCCUCAUGGACACUAGUUGGGCUUAUUACCGCUGAGCCACAGUGGGAACUUCCUCAUACCAUCUUUUUAAAAUGACACUGCAGUGGUGGAGGAGAGACAGUCUCUUCGAUAAGUGUGGCUGGGAAAACUGGACAGCUACAUAUAAAAGAAUGAAAUCAGAACAUUCUCUAACACCAUAUACAAAAUAAACUUGAAAUGUAUUUAUGGCAUAAGCAUGUGGCCAGAUACUAUAAAAUUCCUAGAUGAAAACAUAAGCAGAACACUAUUUGACGUAAGUUGUAGCAAUAUCUUAUUUGAUUCACCUUCUAGAAAAAUGAAAAUAAAACCAAAAAGAAACCAAUAAGACCUAAUUAAAGUUAAAAGCUUUUUCACAGAAAAAGAAACCAUAAAAAAAAUGAAAAGACAACCCACAGAAUGAGAAAAAUCUUUGCAAAUGAAUCAAGUGAUUAAUCUCCAAAAUAUACAAACAUCUCACACAACUUUAUAUCAAAAAGACAACCCAAUCAAAAAAGUGUCAAAAGAUCUAGACAGACUUUUCUUCAAAGAAGACAGACAGAUGGCCAAAGAACACAUGAAAAGAUGCUCAAUGUAGUUCCUGUUGUGGCACAGUAGAAACGAAUCUGACUAGGAACCAUGAGGUCGUGGGUUCGAUCCCUAGCCUUGCUCAGUGGGUUAAGGAUCUGGCGUUGCUGUGAGCUGUGGUGUAGCCUGGCAGCUGUAGGUAGCUUUGAUUAGACCACGAGCCUGAAAACCUCCUUAUGCCGUGGGUGUGGCCCUAAACAACAACAACAACAACAACAAAGAUGCUCAAUGUCGCUAAUUAUUAGAGAGGUACAAGUCAAAAUUACAAAGAAGUAUCAUCUCACACCAGUCAGAAUGGCAUCAUCAAAGUCUACAAACAAUAACUGCUGGAGAACAUGUGGAGAAAAGGGAACCCUCUCACACUAUUGGUGGGAAAGUAAAUUGAUACAACUGCUAUGGAGGACAGUAUGGAGGUUCCUUAAAAAACUAAAUACAGAACUAUCAUAUGAUCCAGCAAUCCCAUUCCUGGGCAUAUAUCCAAAGAAAACUCUAAUUUGAAAAGAGUUUUCAGCUCUUUUGAACAUAGUGAACAUAGUGAACCCCUAUGUUCACUGCAGCAACAUUUACAAUAGCCAAGACAAAGAAGCAACCUAAACGUCUAUCGAAGGAGGAAUGGAUAAAGAGGAUGUGGUACAUAUACACAACAGAAUAUUACUUGGACGCAAAAAGAAUGAAAUAAUGCCAUUUGCAGCAUCAUGGAUAGACCUAGAGAUCAUCCUACUGAGUGAAGUUAAUUCAGACAGAGGAAUACAAAUAUGUGAUUUCACUUAUAUGUGGAAUCUAAUAAAAAUGAUAUAAAAGAGGGAUUUUCUGUUGUGGCACACUGCAUUAAGGUUCUGGUGCUGUCUCUGUGGUGGCACAGGUUCAAACCUAGGCCCAGAAGGAUAGGUUAAAGGAUCUGGUGUUGUUGCAGCUGUGGCUUGGAUUUGAACCCUGGCCCAGGAACUUCCAUAUGCCCUGAGAGCUAAAAAUAAGAGAUACUUAUUUAUAAAACAGAAACAAACUCAGAGAUUUCAAAACCAAUCUUACGUUUACCACAAGUGAAACCAUUGUGGGUGGGAGUAACUGGGAGGGUGGGAAUAACAUAUAUACACUUCUGUAUAAAACAGAUGAUUAAUGAGAACCUACUGUAUAGCAUAGGAAAAUCUAUUCAGUUUGUAAUAACCUAUAUGGGAAAAAAAAGACUGGAUAUAUUUAUAUGCAUAACUGAUUCACUUUGCUGUACACUUGAAACUAAUGCAAUGUUGUAAGUAAAUUAUACUCCAAUAAGAUACAAAAAAUAAUUUUAAAAAAUGACAUUGCAGGUAUGAUGAGGGUAGAUAGUUAUUUUAACGUUUAACACGGCAGAAAAUGUUACAUAAAAACAUGUUACAUGCAUAAAAACAAGGAACAAUUAAAGAAAAACAUGAUAGUUAAGUGUCUGCAUGAGAAAAUAAGAGGAAUUAGGGGAAAGCUAAGAGGAGAGAGGACAAGGAGUAGAGAGGGAAGGAGUGGGCCCUAUGGAGACAAGCUGCCACUGGGAAAUCCAUGAGUAGGAAAGUCAGAAGACUUUAAAGAUCAGAGUUAUGGAAAAAUCAAAUAUAAUCACUUGUUUUGAGGUAAACCGUCUCCUCUGAUGCAAGCCUUGAGUAAUCUGCUAUACAUAAAAGACUUCAGAGUGCUUUUGUCAUGUAAAUCAAAGAAAAGGAAUUGAAUUCCAUGGCUGAACUGGCAUGGCGGAGAGAAAGAAGAAAAUCAGGGUUGAUAAACUGUACAUGAGACUCAGCCCAGUGGAAUCCAGCGGAGAGGUAGCCAUGCAAAUAAAUCCUGCAGGAAUUCACAAAAAUCUCGGAAAAAGCAUUAGACUUUAGAAAGGACCAGGGCCACGUAGCUUGAGCUAAUAAACGUCAAAGAGAGGGUCAGUUUAAGUGAUAAUCCAGCUGUACAUAACUGUGCUGAUCCAUUACGUGCAACCUAACAAUCAUAAGAUAAGAUAGUAUGACAGUAAGAUCAUAAGAUCUUCCAAACGUGCUUCACUUACUGUGAAGCAGACCCUGUGCUAAGUACUUUAUCUGCAUUAUCUUCCUUAAUUCUCACUAUAUGGAUAAGAAAACUCGAGUUCAGAGAACUUGCUCAGACAGUUACCAGCUAACAAACACAGAGUAGAAACUUGGCUUAAUCUGAUCCCGCAAUUCACAUUCCUAAUUCCUAUUUAAUCUGUUAUCAGGUCCCAUCCCAAAGACCCAGAUUUUUGUGCCACGUAUAUACUGAAAAUUAUUACAAAUGUAAAAUUGUCUCUGUAGGUUUGUCUGUGUGAACAACUGCUUCAGUCAGCUUUUCUCAAAAUACAGUUAUAUAGCAAACUACCUACAUACCAGUGGCUUUGAGUAGCAAGCAAUUAUUGUCAUGCUUGCAGUCAGCAUGGUGGACAACAGCUCAGAUUGGGCUCUGAUGGAAGGUUCUCCUAAAGGUUUCAGGUAGUGCGCUUGGCUCCAGCUUGCGACUGACUUCAGUUCUACUCUGUAUCUCAUCAGGGGCCAAGGCAGGAGGGGUUUGUUCCUCUCAAGGCAGAGAUCAGGAGCUUCCAGAGGGAAAAUCAGAAACAUGUAAUGCCUCUUACUCCUAAGCUCCAAAUGUGUAUGUUAUUUCAUCCACAUUUUAUCAGCCAGAGCAAGUCAACUGAGUGGUGGUGGUGAAGAGCAAAUACUUAUUGACAAUCAUUCAAUCUUCCGUAGUAAUUUAAUUGCUCCUGUGUAAACUUAGUUUCUAAGAAAGACAUACUAUAUUAAAUCUCUUCAGGGAGCAGAACAAGAUUAUUUCCAAUAUUAAUCAGUAGGGGCUCUGGAAAUUUUCACAUGCUUGGAUUCCCUAAAUGAUUACAAAGUAUAAUGACAACAUCAUCACUUUCACAUUUUUUGAAAAAAUAUUAUUAAUCUCUAUACAAUUUUAAGGGAAUUGUAUUAUAAAAUACAAAAUUGAGUUAUUAUAAAAUAUUGGCUAUAUUCUCCAUGUUGUACAAUACAUCCUUGAGCCUAUCUAUCUUACACCCACCAGUUUGUACCUUCCCCUUACUGAACGCUAUAUUCCCUCUCCUCCUCCCCACUGGUAACCACUAAUUUGUUCUUUAUGAGUCUGCUUCUUUUUGUUACAUUUACUACUUUGUUGUAUUUUUUUAGAUUCCAUAUGUAAGUGCUAUCAUACAGUAUUUGUCUUUCUUUGUCUGAGUUAUUUCACUUAGCCUAAUGCCCUCCAAGUCCACCCAUGCUGCUACAUGCAAAUGGCAAAAAUCCAUUCUUUUUAUGGCAGAGUAAUACUCCGUUGUGUAUAUGACAUUUUCUUAAUCCAUUCUUCUGUUGAAGGACACUCGUUGCCUCCAUAUCUUAUUAAUUAUAAAUAAUGAUGCUAUGAAUGUUGGAGUGCAAAUAUAUUUUCAAAUGUACAUAUAUAUAUGUGUUAUUUUUUGUUUUUGCAAAGCUAUCACUUUUAAGCCUACUUCUCCUAUCAUCACUACUACAUCUUGUCCUAAUAGGGAUUCUAAAAGUCUCACGAAAUUUUCAAUCAGAUCAUAUAUGAGAGAAAGUGAGAGUGAGAGAGAGAACACUUUGUAACUGCAUAAAAAUGCUCUUGACUAUCUGAAAGGAUCAAAAAUAAAUUAUGUUGCUUUGUAUUAAUCAAAAGGAAAAAUAGACGUAUUAUCCUGCCAAUGGUGGUACUUUUGUGACACACACAUUUAAAAUUCACUUUUAAAUAAAAUGUGUAGGUCUGUACUAGUUGCCAAAGAUCAGACCUUCACACUAUUACUAAAACCCAUCAAUAACUGAAGACAUACCUAAUGUAGAUAAGACCUUAGCUAUACAUAAUGGCAUUUUAGAGAAUUUAAAAAUUUAUAUCAUAAAAAACUACAAAUUUUAUGGAGUUCCUGUCAUGGCUCAGCAGGUUAAGAACCUGACUAGUAUCCAUGAAGAUGUGGGUCUGGAUCCCUGGUCUUGCUCAGUAGGUUAAGGAUACAGCAUUGCUGUGAGCUGUGGUGUAGGUCACAGACGUGGCUCAGAUGCCAAGUUGCUGUGCCUGCGGUGUAGGCCAGUAGCCGCAGCUCCUAUUCAGAUCCUAGCCUGGGAACUUUCUUAUGCCAAAGGUGCAGCCCUAAAAACAAAAAAAAUAUAUAUACACGAAUUUUAAUUAUAAAAGUGGUUUUACUUUCUUGUCAUAUUUAAAAGUUUGUGUACCAAUCUAGAUUAAAACUCUCUUGAAAUGUUCUUUGAAUGGUAAUGUUAACUAGUGAAAACCUGUUAGUUGAAAAUACUAAAAAUUAAUUGAAUUCUUCUCUGGAAAAUGUACCUAAACUCUAUUAAUUAAGUAUUUUCUUGUUUGUUUUGAAAAACCAUUCCACUCAUAAAAUC
rnacentral:lncRNA from 1 species